rnacentral:rRNA from 1 species
GACGAACGCUGGCGGCGUGCUUAACACAUGCAAGUCGAACGGAAAGGCCCUGCUUUUGUGGGGUGCUCGAGUGGCGAACGGGUGAGUAACACGUGAGUAACCUGCCCUUGACUUUGGGAUAACUUCAGGAAACUGGGGCUAAUACCGGAUAGGAGCUCCUGCUGCAUGGUGGGGGUUGGAAAGUUUCGGCGGUUGGGGAUGGACUCGCGGCUUAUCAGCUUGUUGGUGGGGUAGUGGCUUACCAAGGCUUUGACGGGUAGCCGGCCUGAGAGGGUGACCGGCCACAUGUGGAUAGAGAAACGGCCAAGGCCCAUAGGGGGGGGAGGAGGGGGAAAUAUACCAAAAAGGGCGGAAGCGUGGGGGAACAACGCCGGGUGGGGAAGGACGGCAUUUGGGUUGAAAACCGAUUUCGCGUGUAACGAAGCGUGGGGAAGGGAAAUGGAGAAAAAGGCACCGGUAACUUCCGG